GGAAGCUGAAUUAUGCCAAUUUAUUACCAUUUUCAGAACAGUGUCUUCACCCCGGCUGACCUAGAACUUGUGGGGUAUACCAGGUUGACUCUGAACUCAGAUUCACCUGCCCGGCCAUCGUGCCUGACCCAAACUUUUGAUGCUGAAAGAGACUUGUCUGCUGUUGGGGGGAGGGCCUGUGAGAAGUAAAUAGAUGUCUGAUCAGUCUCAGUUCUGGGCUCUAUCCGACAGUGCAGACAGGGCGUGUUGGUUCAGAUAGGUCUGGUCAAGCACAGGUUGUAGAACGAAUUGGAAUCAAAGACAUGGUUUACCUUUUGCCAGCCCACCCAUCCAGCAGCUUGCAAUUCACAACGGUUUUUUGGAGUGCCCCAGUAGUGUGGGUCCAGUAUCAAGACAUAGACUUCCAUAUCUGGCCCCUCACAGAUUCCCAGCAGGGCCUUGGACUGAGCAUCUGCAUCUCCUCCCACCAUUACUGGGCCCCCACCCGCUGUGAAGUGUGAAUAAAGCCGCUCCAGUUCUCCCCUAAGCUCUGCUCCGCGGGGCAAGUGGUACAGGCGUCCCUGAGGUCCUCCAAAGUGCUCUAGACAGAGACUGGCCUCUACACAGCCGAUCCAGUUCCGGGAGCCCCGGAAACCGGGGGGCUUGUCGCCCAUGUCCUCUAGGGCUCCCUGCAAGGCUGCCAGUCCAGGCACGCCGGAGGACUGGCCCUCUGGCCAGGAGCACAGAGUCUGCAGGGUGCGGUAGCCGCAUCCCCAGCCGCGGUCAUCCAGUCCAUCGCAACCGUAGUGAUAGUAAAGGUAGUGGCCUGAGAGGAGAGCCAGUCGGGCGGGAUCCUGGCAGGGUACAGCCAGGCCCAGGUGCACGUCCUUUAGCAGCUCCAGGGUGCUCGGUAGAGCAGCUGUCACCGAGGCAGGGCGGACUCCGGGUUCUUGGUGUUUUCUGGGAUUAGCUAGGGCAGGGGAACUCAUACCAAACAGCGUAGUAGCAGGAGAGGUCAUUCCACAAGUUGACACCGACUUCCGAGCUCUCUAAAAGGCGCCGGCAAACCAGCCUU
rnacentral:lncRNA from 1 species